rnacentral:lncRNA from 1 species
GGACUAUCGAACAUGCACAGCCCAAGGCACAGGGGGUCAGUCUUUCACAAGACUUAAGCAAUGGCAGGCAAAACUAUAAAGCAAGCAGCAAGUUGUAACAAUUUUAUAUAGUAACUGGUCCAAAUAAUAAUAAUGAUGCCGAAACAAUUUACAAAUAAAUAAAGUUCAAAUGUUCCAAAUAAUAAAGUCACUAAUUUCACUAAUUCACAGUUAAAGUUAAGUCCAAAAUGUUCGUAAUAUUCCAAAUUGAUGUUGUCUGGCUUGAAUAGUUACUGUUGUGUUGAGCUGUCUUUUGAGUUAGCGGGUUUC